UGGGGAAUAUUGGACAAUGGGCGGAAGCCUGAUCCAGCAACGCCGCGUGAGGGAUGACGGCCUUCGGGUUGUAAACCUCUUUCGCCUGUGACGAAGCGCAAGUGACGGUAACAGGUAAAGAAGCACCGGCCAACUACGUGCCAGCAGCCGCGGUAAUACGUAGGGUGCGAGCGUUGUCCGGAAUUAUUGGGCGUAAAGGGCUCGUAGGCGGUUUGUCGCGUCGGGAGUGAAAACCAGGUGCUUAACACCUGGCUUGCUUUCGAUACGGGCAGACUAGAGGUAUUCAGGGGAGAACGGAAUUCCUGGUGUAGCGGUGAAAUGCGCAGAUAUCAGGAGGAACACCGGUGGCGAAGGCGGUUCUCUGGGAAUGACCUGACGCUGAGGAGCGAAAGUGUGGGGAGCGAACA
rnacentral:rRNA from 1 species